UUAAAGUAGUGCUCUUUGCUACCAUUAACUCAGUGCAUAAUCUCUCUCUUCCUCUCUAGGCUCUCAAAAGCUCUCUCUCACUCUACUGUGUGAGUGUGUGUUUUCUUUUGCAUGCAGUGGAAAACAAAGUUAUUUGAGUAAAAAAGCUGGGUCGAAUAUAGAGAGAAUAUCGGUCUGGCCGGAAUACGGGUGGUGCUGAGUCGAAUCGGUGGCAGGAAGCCGCGACAGAAGGUGAAGAUAAAGGCGAUGGAGUGGUGGCAUAAAAUGGUCUUCCCUGUUAGAAGAGUUUGGUUCGCUGUUUCUGCACGAGCUAAGGCUCGCAAAACUGGUGCCGGGCUUUUGAAACUUCAUGACGACAUCCAAACUUGUGGAUACGAGGAUGUGCAGAUAAUGUGGGACAUUUUGAGACGAAUAGAAUCACAACCGUUGCCUCGCCAUUCUAAACGCAAGUAUCGAUUGUUCUGAAAACAAGCCAUAUGAUGCGACCAUGGUUUGGCUCAAUCCUUCACUACAAAUCAUAAUCAUCCUGCAACAAACAAGGGUGUCAUGUUACUCUCACAACCCUAGUCUGAUUUUUACAUAAUCUGAUACAAAAAGACACAAAUAUGUGAUCAAAUCAUUGUAAAUAUAUCGUGUUUCCAGACGAUCCCUCGUUGAGUUUUACUUCGAUAUACAAGUAAGGAUGGCAGACUUCACUUGCUUUGUAGUACUCGUAAUCUUGUACUACGAAACAAACAUAUCUAGGGAAAAUUUUGAAGGUUUUUGACAACACAAUUAUGCAGUGUGUGUACCAUUUUUCCACUCUUAGUCCCUCUAGCACUCAACAGCAUUGUACUGGGGUCCAAAGGAGAUUGUUCGUUCGAUGUUUAGUUCUCCCCGCCGCGCCCUAUUUUAUUUUUGAUAUAAGAAAGACAAUAAACUCUGGCUCUAUAA